CUACGGGAUGCAGCAGUGGGGAAUAUUGCACAAUGGGCGCAAGCCUGAUGCAGCAACGCCGCGUGAAGGAUGAAGGCCUUCGGGUCGUAAACUUCUGUCCUUGGGGAAGAAACAAAUGACGGUACCCAUGGAGGAAGCCCCGGCUAACUACGUGCCAGCAGCCGCGGUAAUACGUAGGGGGCAAGCGUUAUCCGGAAUUAUUGGGCGUAAAGAGUGCGUAGGUGGUUACCUAAGCGCAGGGUUUAAGGCAAUGGCUCAACUAUUGUUCGCCCUGUGAACUGGGCUACUUGAGUGCAGGAGAGGAAAGCGGAAUUCCUAGUGUAGCGGUGAAAUGCGUAGAUAUUAGGAGGAACACCAGUGGCGAAGGCGGCUUUCUGGACUGUUACUGAUACUGAGGCACGAAAGCGUGGGGAGCAAACAGGAUUAGAUACCCUCGUAGUC
rnacentral:rRNA from 1 species